GUCCAGAUACAUCAUCUGCGUUACAUGCCUUAUCUAGUCCUGAUCAGGCAUGCACGGUCCGGUCCUUGGUUGCUUGAUCCAAAUCGAGUAUGCCCAUGCGGUCCUUUUAAAUAAAACACGAAUGUACAGUCUUGACAAAAUUGUUUAUUAAAAAACUUGGUUGUCUGCAAAGUUGGUUUACAGACGAUAGUUAAACGUGACAACCGUCAUAACAAAACAUCUCCUCGGAUGCAUAGGCCGAUCAGAUAGAUGCGGCACAAGCAUACAUAUGAUCGUAACGAAGCCGGCGUUAAUCGAUUUUUCGACGUCACGUCAAAAAAAAAAAAAAAAAUGAUAUUAUGUUACUUAACAUACUAUGUAUAUUUAAAAUAACAUAUUAUAUAUAUUUAACUUAACAUAACAUAACAAUACACUUUAUUGUGCACUUAAACAGAAAUAAAACUUAUCCGAUUGAAAAAAAAAACAUAUUUAUUUCCAUUUAUUUUUUCAAAUGUAUUAUUUAUUUUAGUUUUUACUUUAAAUAUCAAUUAUUUUUAUGUUAUAGUUAAAAAUAAUAAUGAUUGUUAUUAAAUAUUAUGAAUUAAUUUUUCUUUUUGUUUGCUUGGCAAAAUAUUUUACACAGCA
rnacentral:misc_RNA from 1 species